AGAAUCAACGCUGGCGGCGUGCCUAACACAUGCAAGUCGCACGAGAAAGGGGAGCAAUCCCUGAGUACAGUGGCGCACGGGUGAGUAACACGUGAAUAAUCUACCUCCGAGUGGGGAAUAACUGAGAGAAAUCUUAGCUAAUACCGCAUAAUACCCACGGGUCAAAGCAGUAAUGCGCUUGGAGAGGAGUUCGCGGCAGAUUAGUUAGUUGGCGGGGUAAUGGCCCACAAGACGAUGAUCUGUA
rnacentral:rRNA from 1 species